rnacentral:rRNA from 1 species
GAUGAACGCUGGCGGCGUGCCUAAUACAUGCAAGUCGAGCGAACGGACGAGAAGCUUGCUUCUCUGAUGUUAGCGGCGGACGGGUGAGUAACACGUGGAUAACCUACCUAUAAGACUGGGAUAACUUCGGGAAACCGGAGCUAAUACCGGAUAAUAUUUUGAACCGCAUGGUUCAAAAGUGAAAGACGGUCUUGCUGUCACUUAUAGAUGGAUCCGCGCUGCAUUAGCUAGUUGGUAAGGUAACGGCUUACCAAGGCAACGAUGCAUAGCCGACCUGAGAGGGUGAUCGGCCACACUGGAGCUGAGACACGGUCCAGACUCCUACGGGAGGCAGCAGUAGGGAAUCUUGCGCAAUGGGCGAAAGCCUGACGGAGCGACGCCGCGUGAGUGAUGAAGGUCUUCGGAUCGUAGAACUCUGUUAUUAGGGAAGAACAUAUGUGUAAGUAACUGUGCACAUCUUGACGGUACCUAAUCAGAAAGCCCCGGCUAACUACGUG